AACUCAUAACACAAAGGUAAAUAUAAACUAAGUGAUACAGUGAAAAUCGA
rnacentral:guide_RNA from 1 species